rnacentral:sRNA from 1 species
UUUUUUUUUUUUUUUUUUAUAAGAACAGUGAACUUUAUCUUUGGUUUUUAUCGUCGAUGUCUAAGAAGGAUCUAAGUAAUUUGUUUGAGAAAACAGAUCAGCAAAACAAACAAUUGCUACAGUAACUCCAAUAUUAGCAAGAGUUAUUACAACUACAACUAUAACUAUAACUGCAACUAUAACUACAACGAUAAGAACUAUCACUACUCUGAAGACAACGAUGUGUUUUCUCAAGAUGAUAACGGAUCUAGCUUCGCCAUCAAUAAGUAUGAGACAAAGGAGUCCAUCUUUGAUGAAACAUCCAUUUGCCUGUUGUACAUUUUUGCAGGACAACCAGCCUGAGCACAAGAGACAUGGNGUACUANACUUUGUGCGGAAUGUCUACUUCAAAACUCGCAUCUUUAUAUCUGAUAUAUAGAGAGAGGCUGAUGAUUUAUAAACACAAACGAUAAGACUUGUAACAUGAAGUUUGUCGAAAAAGUCAAUCUUUAAAUUCCUUUCUGAACCUCUCUGUUAUGUCAGUGCUUCGGUAUUAUGCUUUAAUGCAGUCACUUGAGGCGUUGUCCUAAUAGGUGCAAAGUUACCGNAUAUUUAGGNUUCAUGUUUGUGAUUACUGGNAGAACGACUGUGAAGAGACCAACCGUAUCGUGUUUUUUCCAAUUGUGAUCUUUCCAAUGCUUAAUAAAUACGAAAUCUUAUUUCGAUUUACAGGCUGGGGCAUUCACGAAACAUANGCGUUUUUACAUUUNCUACNGGCACNCCAUAA